GGGUGCGAUGAUACCAGCACUAAUGCACCGGAUCCCAUCAGAACUCUGCAGCUAAGUGUGCUUGGGCGAGAGUAGUACUAGGAUGGGUGACUUCCUUGGAAGCCUUCGUGUUGCACCCC
rfam:Gossypium arboreum cultivar AKA8401 contig_17731_1, whole genome shotgun sequence.